GGGCAAUGGGCGAAAGCCUGACCCAGCAACGCCGCGUGAAGGAUGAAAUCCCUNGGGAUGUAAACUUCGCAAGAACGGGAAGAAUAAGUAGGGGACAAUACCCCCUAUGAUGACGGUACCGUUUGUAAGCUCCGGCUAACUCCGUGCCAGCAGCCGCGGUAAUACGGGGGGAGCAAGCGUUGUUCGGAUUUACUGGGCGUAAAGGGCGCGUAGGCGGCCAGCACAAGUCAGUUGUGAAAUCUCCGAGCUUAACUCGGAAAGGUCAACUGAUACUGUGCGGCUAGAGUGCAGAAGGGGCAACUGGAAUUCUUGGUGUAGCGGUGAAAUGCGUAGAUAUCAAGAGGAACACCUGCGGCGAAGGCGGGUUGCUGGGCUGACACUGACGCUGAGGCGCGAAAGCUAGGGGAGCGAACGGGAUUAGAUACCCCGGUAGUCCUAGCCUUAAACGAUGAAUGCUUGGUGUCUGGGGUUAUAAAGUCCCCGGGUGCCGUCGCUAACGCUUUAAGCAUUCCGCCUGGGGAGUACGGUCGCAAGACUG
rnacentral:rRNA from 1 species